rnacentral:rRNA from 1 species
CCUACGGGUGGCAGCAGUGAGGAAUAUUGGUCAAUGGACGAGAGUCUGAACCAGCCAAGUCGCGUGAAGGAAGACGGCCCUAUGGGUUGUAAACUUCUUUUAUAGGGGAAUAAAACGCUCUACGUGUGGGAGGUUGUAUGUAUCAUAUGAAUAAGGAUCGGCUAACUCCGUGCCAGCAGCCGCGGUGAUACGGAGGAUCCGAGCGUUAUCCGGAUUUAUUGGGUUUAAAGGGAGCGUAGGCGGAUUGUUAAGUCAGAUGUGAAAGUUUGCGGCUCAACCGUAAGAUUGCAGUUGAAACUGGCAGGCUGGAGUGCAGUAGAGGUAGGCGGAAUGCGUGGUGUAGCGGUGAAAUGCUUAGAUAUCACGAAGAACACCGAUUGCGAAGGCAGUUCACUGGACUGCAACUGACGCUGAGGCUCGAAAGUGUGGGGAGCAAACAGGAUUAGAUACCCCAGUAGUC